AGAAUGAACGCUGGCGGCGUGCUUAACACAUGCAAGUCGAACGAGGCGGAGGGGGCAACCCCUCCAGUCGAGUGGCGGACGGGUGAGUAACACGUGGGUAACCUGCCCGGAAGUGGGGAAUACCUCGGGGAAACCCGAGCUAAUACCGCAUGACAUCUUUGGGACGAGAGUCCCGACGAUCAAAGCGGGGUCGCAAGAUCUCGCGCUACCGGAUGGGCCCGCGCCCGAUUAGCUAGUUGGUGAGGUAACGGCCCACCAAGGCUUCGAUCGGUAACCGGCCUGAGAGGGGCGAGUCGGUACGACGACCGGAACUGGAGACACGGUCCGGACUCCUACGGGAGGCAGCAGUGGGAAUCGUUGCGCAAUGGGCGAAAGCCUGACGCAGCAACGCCGCGUGGAGGAUGAAGGCCUUGGGUUGUAAACUCCGUGUCGGUUAGGAAGAAAUCGUUCGCGCUCAUACCCGCGGACGUUGACUGUACCAGACAAAGGACGCCCCGGACUAAC
rnacentral:rRNA from 1 species